rnacentral:rRNA from 1 species
CCUACGGGAGGCAGCAGUGAGGAAUAUUGGUCAAUGGACGCAAGUCUGAACCAGCCAUGCCGCGUGCAGGAAGACGGCUCUAUGAGUUGUAAACUGCUUUUGUACGAGGGUAAACGCAGAUACGCGUAUCUGUCUGAAAGUAUCGUACGAAUAAGGAUCGGCUAACUCCGUGCCAGCCGCCGCGGUAAUACGGAGGAUUCAAGCGUUAUCCGGAGUUAUUGGGUUUAAAGGGUGCGUAGGCGGUCGGAUAAGUUAGAGGUGAAAUCCCGAGGCACAACUUCGGAAUUGCCUCUGAUACUGUUCGGCUAGAGAGUAGUUGCGGUAGGCGGAAUGUAUGGUGGAGCGGUGAAAUGCUUAGAGAUCAUACAGAACACCGAUUGCGAAGGCAGCUUACCAAGCUACUUCUGACGUUGAGGCACGAAAGCGUGGGGAGCAAACAGGAUUAGAUACCCCAGUAGUC